GAAAUGCGAUAAGUAGUGUGAAUUGCAGAAUUCAGUGAAUCAUCGAAUCUUUGAACGCACAUUGCGCCCCUUGGUAUUCCAUGGGGCAUGCCUGUUCGAGCGUCAUCUACACCCUCAAGCUCUGCUUGGUGUUGGGUGUCUGUCCCGCCCCCGCGCGUGGACUCGCCCCAAAUCCAUUGGCAGCGUUCCUUGCCCCCUCUCGCGCAGCACAUUGCGCUUCUCGAGGGCGGCUCCGGGACGCGAUCCAGCACGAUGACCACCGUCUUUGACCUCGGAUCAGGUAGGGAUACCCGCUGAACUUAAGC
rnacentral:misc_RNA from 1 species